rnacentral:rRNA from 1 species
UACGGAGGGUGCAAGCGUUAUCCGGAUUCACUGGGUUUAAAGGGUGCGUAGGCGGGUUGGUAAGUCCGUGGUGAAAUCUCCGAGCUUAACUCGGAAACUGCCGUGGAUACUAUCAAUCUUGAAUAUCGUGGAGGUAAGCGGAAUAUGUCAUGUAGCGGUGAAAUGCUUAGAGAUGAACAUAGAACACCAAUUGCGUAGGCAGCUUACUACACGAUCAUUGACGCUGAGGCACGAAAGCGUGGGGAGCAAACAGG